rnacentral:misc_RNA from 1 species
AUUACAAGUUGAGUCUUGGAGAAGUCGGGUCUGAGAAAGGUGAGGUGAACAUAGACCUUACCCUACCUUUGUACGGCAGAGAAGUUGUUUCCGAUAGUUAAUUUUCAAAGUGUUAGCUCUAUAGUAAAUUCUUUUCCAAUUAGAACUGACAGACCUCCCAUCUCCAAAACACCAAAUGCACUUUUAUCAAUUUUUGUUCUAAUUUUAGUAGUCAAAUUAUAUGCAUUUAUUUUACUCACCCCUUUUUUCAGUCCAAGAAAAGUCACUUUGUGUAUUCUCCAAUUCUUACUCAAAGCAAACUCUUCAUUCACAACAUUUGAUCUUAGAUAUAACUUCUUAUUCACAACAUUAGUGUGAAAUUUCACUAGGCUCCAUUUUCCUCCCUCUCCUCCCAUUUCAACGUCUUCGCCAUCGUCCAAGAAGACUUCCCCUGAACUAUUUCCCCAGUUGUUGAUCGCGACAACAAGUUCAAACGGAGUAUCCCUGGCUGCUCUUGUUGUCAUUGCUUCUCCUUGCAUCACCACAAUGUUUCCCUCUCUGAGAUGCACAUUGAUAUGAUCAGGAGGCGCGUCUAGACUGAUGUAGCUACCGGACUUCAUGUUGACGUAGUUUGAAUAGUUGAAGAGGUUGAACCAGGUACCAGAUGGGAAAUACGCGUUAACUGAAACUGCUCCAGAUGUCAGUACUGGUGAUAUCAUUAACCCCUUACCGAUGAGAAACUGAGAGUCGAUGGUGUAAGUGUUUGCAUCCUCGGGAAAUGAAAAGAAAAGAGGACGCGCUAUAGGGAUGCCUUUGGUGUGGGCCUCGAACAUUAGCGUGUAGAAGUAUGGUAAGAGACGAUACCGUAGUCCGAGCACCUUUCUGGCUGUUGCAGCUACUGAAUCCCAGAUAUAUAGCUCUUGAUGGAUAGUGAACUUCUCAGAGUGAUCCCUUGCAAAGGGAUAAAAUGCACCUAGCUGAAUCCAA